CCUGAGUUCAAUCCCUGGUACACACCCACUCCCAAAAAAAUUGCGAUUCCCCUUAGAAAAGGAACAUGUUUAAAGGUGUUGCCAGGUAGGGCUGUUUUUUUAAAAAGCAGAUUCUUUGCACCAGAACAAUAAAAAAGAUGCCUUGAGAGCAUCUCAGAAUCUUCCAAGACUCCACCUAUCACAGGCUUUUCAAAAGUUACAGAGUAUAAUCUUAUGUUCUUUUGAGGAGAGCCCAGGGUGCACAGAACAAUUUAGGGAAUGGUUUCCCUGGGAUUUGCCUGUGUUGAACCCUCAAGGCCCUGCAGCCUGGUUGAAGUGGGCCCUGGUGUAGCUCAUGCUGGAAGCAGGCCUUGACAUAAUCCACAGGAUGCUGGUUUUACAGGCAUCUAGAAUGCAAGACUCAUGGGGUCUUGGAAGCUUCCACUGAGAUUUCAAAGGAGAGCAUGGGAGGCUAGGCAGUGUGUGGCAGGGUCAGUUUCUGCAAGCAGCCCCUACUGCAGAACACAGAGUGAAGCCGAAGCUACAGUGGAUACCCCAGGAAGCCGAAGAUGCCAGAAUGAGGAAUGCCUGCUGAGGAAAUCCAGAAGCAGCAAGCAGAACUAACUGAAGAGAGUGGCCGUGGUGGCUGCAGCCAGCAAGUUGUAGGGGUGGUACUCUCCAAGCCCUUCGGUAGUCACAUCACCACCAUGUGCCCUGGAUGCUGGGCACGAAGCUAUAGCACUUAAUGUUUGCUCUGCUAAGUUUCAGUCUUGGUCUGAUGCUGUCCAUGCCCUUACUCCUUCUCUUGGGAAUGGGAA
rnacentral:lncRNA from 1 species